GCCUAGCCGUAAACAUUGAUAGAUCUAUCCGCCUGGGUACUACGAGCAUUAGCUUGAAACCCAAAGGACUUGGCGGUACUUUAGAUCCCCCUAGAGGAGCCUGUUCUAUAACCGAUGACCCCCGUUCAACCUCACCCUCCCUUGCCCGCCUAUAUACCGCCGUCGUCAGCUUACCCUGUGAAGGUCUAAUAGUAAGCAAAAUUGGCAUCGCCCAGAACGUCAGGUCGAGGUGUAGCGCAUGAGAGGGGAAGAAAUGGGCUACAUUCGCUCGAACACUGAAAGAAGGAGGAUUUAGCAGUAAGCGGAAAAUAGAGUGUUCCGCUGAAAUCGGCUCUGAAGUGCGU
rnacentral:rRNA from 1 species